GUUAGGAAUUUUGGGCAAUGGGCGAAAGCCUGACCCAGCAACGCCGCGUGGGUGACGAAGCCUUUCGGGGUGUAAAGCCCUUUUCUCCGUGACGAAGAUGACGGUAGCGGAGGAAGAAGCCCCGGCUAACUACGUGCCAGCAGCCGCGGUAAUACGUAGGGGGCAAGCGUUGUCCGGAAUCAUUGGGCGUAAAGCGCGAGCAGGCGGCCUGCAGAGCCUGACGUGAAAGCUCCUGGCUCAACUGGGAGAGGUCGUUGGGGACCUGCAAGCUUGAGGCCGGUAGGGGGGCAUGGAAUUCCCGGUGUAGUGGUGGAAUGCGUAGAGAUCGGGAGGAACACCAGUGGCGAAGGCGGUGCCCUGGGCCGGACCUGACGCUGAGGCGCGAAGGCGUGGGGAGCGAUCCGGAUUAGAAACCCUUGUAGUCC
rnacentral:rRNA from 1 species